GAACACAUAAAUAUGGAUUUGAACUUGAUGCCUCAAGAGGAAGAACAUGAAACCAUUGAUUUGAACUUGAUGCCUCAAGAGGAAGACGAUGAAGGCAUUAAUUUGAAUUGGGUCCCUGGAGAGGAGGAACCUCAAGUGGCAGAGAAUGGAGAUAUGGAUUUGAACUUGAUGCCUCAAGAGGAAGACGAUGAAGCUAUGAAUUGGAUGCCUCAAGAAGAUGAAGCUCAAGAGGAUGAAGCUCAAGAGGAAGAGGAUGAAGUUAUGAAUUGGAUACUUCAAGAGAAAAGAAGAGAAUUGUCAGACAAGGAGAGGCAUGGUGUUUACUUUGCCUUGCUGGUAAUCGAGCUCAGAGAUGGGUCUGUCCAACCAGACGACAAGCUGCUAGUCUCAAACCUGUUGGACAUAAGUGUACGAUCUAUUGAAAGAAUCUGGGAACUGGCUAAAAAGCAAAUUGCCGAUGGCAAAGAAGUAGAUGUCUCAAGCAAGAAGCCAGGAAGAUCCGGCCGAAAGAGAAAGGAGCUAGAUCUAGAGAGGACCUCAACAAUCCCACUAAAUAAAAGAAGGACAAUUCGAUCUCUGGCACGGUCUCUAGGUGUGGCCCGAUCGACCCUACAUAAGAGGUUCCAGUUGAAUGAGCUCAACCGCAUCACAAGCACCGUGAAGCCUCACCUCAAGCUAGAGAACAAGCUUGCGAGAUUGAAAUUUUGUAUGUCCAUGGUCGAUGACAAUUCAAUCUCAACUUCUCGGGCUAUGUUUAAACCAAUGACGAAUAUGGUUCACAUCGAUGAGAAGUGGUUUGACAUGACGAGAGUGAAAAAUAGUUACUAUGUACUUCCAGGAGAACCUGAGCCGAAGCGCACCGUGUCAAACACUCACAGCAUUGGGAAGGUGAUGUUCCUAACAGCUGUUGCCAGGCCUCGAUAUAACAAUGAGGGGGAGCUAACAUUCGACGGGAAGAUUGGCAUUUGGGCAUUCGUUGAAGAGACUGAGGCGAAGCGGACAAGUCAUAACAGAACAAAGGGAACAAAAGUGUUGACAUUAGUGAAAGUAACUAGACCUGUGUGCAGAGAUUAUCUAAUCAAUAAGGUUAUCCCGGCAAUUCAGGAUAAGUGGCCUGACGAUGACGAGGGAGCAACAAUAUUCAUCCAACAGGAUAAUGCAAAGCCCCAUGUCCUUCCCAAUGAUGUAGCUUUUCGAGAAGCUGUGGAACAAACUGAUCUUGACAUCCGAUUGCUACAACAGCCCCCAAAUAGC
rnacentral:rRNA from 1 species